AUACGGAGGAUGCAAGCGUUAUCCGGAUUUAUUGGGUUUAAAGGGUGCGUAGGUGGAUGAUUAAGCGUGAGGUGAAAUGCCACUGCUCAACAGUGGAACUGCCUCGCGAACUGGUUGUCUUGAAUGCUCCUGCCGUGGGAGGAAUGUGUGGUGUAGCGGUGAAAUGCAUAGAGAUCACACAGAACACCGAUUGCGAAGGCAUCUCACGAAGGGGUGAUUGACGCUGAGGCACGAAAGCGUGGGGAUCAAACAGGAUUAGAUACCCUGGUAGUCCACGCAGUAAACGAUGAUAACUAACCGCUGGGUCGUAGUGAUUCAGUGGCCAAGCGAAAGCGAUAAGUUAUCCACCUGGGGAGUACGACCGCAAGGUUGAAACUUAAAGGAAUUGACGGGG
rnacentral:rRNA from 1 species